GUAGGUGGCAAGCGUUGUCCGGAAUUAUUGGGCGUAAAGCGCGCGCAGGCGGUUCUUUAAGUCUGAUGUGAAAGCCCACGGCUCAACCGUGGAGGGUCAUUGGAAACUGGAGAACUUGAGUACUGAAGAGGAAAGCGGAAUUCCACGUGUAGCGGUGAAAUGCGUAGAGAUGUGGAGGAACACCAGUGGCGAAGGCGGCUUUCUGGUCUGUAACUGACGCUGAGGCGCGAAAGCGUGGGGAGCAAACAGGGAUUAGAUACCCUGGUAGUCCACGCCGUAAACGAUGAGUGCUAAGUGUUAGGGGGUUUCCGCCCCCUUAGUGCUGCAGCUAACGCAUUAAGCACUCCGCCUGGGGAGUACGGCCGCAAGGCUG
rnacentral:rRNA from 1 species